CUACGGCCAUAUCACGUUGAAAUAUCGGUCCCCAUAUGCUCACUGAAGUUAAGCAACGUCGAGCCUGGUCAUUACUUUGAUGGGUGACCGUUUUGGUGAAUACCAGUUACUGUAA